rnacentral:rRNA from 1 species
UACGUAGGAGGCGAGCGUUGUCCGGAAUUACUGGGUGUAAAGCGCGUGUAGGCGGUGAGUUAAGUCUGUUGUGAAAGCGCCCGGCUCAACCGGGCAGAGUCAAUGGAAACUAGCGCACUGGAGGUCGGUAGAGGCGAGUGGAAUUCCCGGUGUAGUGGUGAAAUGCGUAGAGAUCGGGAGGAACACCAGUGGCGAAGGCGGCUCGCUGGGCCGGACCUGACGCUGAGACGCGAAGGCGUGGGGAGCGAACGGG